rnacentral:rRNA from 1 species
CGUAGGGUGCGAGCGUUAAUCGGAAUUACUGGGCGUAAAGGGUGCGCAGGCGGCGUCGCAAGUCAGGCGUGAAAUCCCCGGGCUUAACCUGGGAAUGGCGCUUGAAACUACGAUGCUGGAGUAUGGCAGAGGGAGGUGGAAUUCCACGUGUAGCGGUGAAAUGCGUAGAGAUGUGGAGGAACACCGAUGGCGAAGGCAGCCUCCUGGGCCAAUACUGACGCUCAUGCACGAAAGCGUGGGGAGCAAACAGGAUUAGAUACCCUGGUAGUCCACGCCCUAAACGAUGAUGACUAGUUGUUGGAGGAGUUAAAUCCUUUAGUAACGCAGCUAACGCGCGAAGUCAUCCGCCUGGGGAGUACGGUCGCAAGAUUA